rnacentral:rRNA from 1 species
UCCUGGCUUAGGAUGAACGCUAGCGGCAGGCUAACACAUGCAAGUCGAGGGGCAGCGGGAUGUAGCAAUACAUUGCCGGCGACCGGCGGAUGGGUGCGUAACGCGUAUGCAACCUACCUUAUACAGGGGAAUAACCUUUCGAAAGGGAGACUAACACCCCAUAGUAUUGAUUUAAGGCAUCUUAGAUUAAUUAAAUAUUUAUAGGUAUAAGAUGGGCAUGCGUAUGAUUAGCUAGUUGGUAAGGUAACGGCUUACCAAGGCGACGAUCAUUAGGGGUUCUGAGAGGAAGGUCCCCCACACUGGUACUGAGACACGGACCAGACUCCUACGGGAGGCAGCAGUGAGGAAUAUUGGUCAAUGGGCGCAAGCCUGAACCAGCCAUGCCGCGUGCAAGGAAGACGGCCUUAUGGGUUGUAAACUGCUUUUACAUAAGACUAACCGUAUAUUUGCGAAUAUACCUGAAUGUAUUAUGAGAAUAAGGAUCGGCUAACUCCGUGCCAGCCGCAGC